UACGUAGGUGGCGAGCGUUGUCCGGAUUUACUGGGCGUAAAGAGCGCGCAGGCGGUCGUACAAGUCGCGUGUGAAAGCCCCCGGCUCAACUGGGGAGGGUCACGCGAUACUGUUCGACUCGAAGGCAGGAGAGGGAAGUGGAAUUCCCGGUGUAGUGGUGAAAUGCGUAGAUAUCGGGAGGAACACCAGUGGCGAAGGCGACUUCCUGGCCUGUUCUUGACGCUGAGGCACGAAAGCUAGGGUAGCAAACGGG
rnacentral:rRNA from 1 species